CCUACGGGAGGCUGCAGUGGGGAAUAUUGGACAAUGGGGGCAACCCUGAUCCAGCCAUGCCGCGUGUGUGAAGAAGGCCCUCGGGUUGUAAAGCACUUUCAGUGAGGAAGAACGCCUGGUGGUUAAUACCCAUCAGGAAAGACAUCACUCACAGAAGAAGCACCGGCUAACUCCGUGCCAGCAGCCGCGGUAAUACGGAGGGUGCGAGCGUUAAUCGGAAUUACUGGGCGUAAAGCGCGCGUAGGUGGCUUGAUAAGCCGGUUGUGAAAGCCCCGGGCUCAACCUGGGAACGGCAUCCGGAACUGUCAAGCUAGAGUGCAGGAGAGGAAGGUAGAAUUCCCGGUGUAGCGGUGAAAUGCGUAGAGAUCGGGAGGAAUACCAGUGGCGAAGGCGGCCUUCUGGACUGACACUGACACUGAGGUGCGAAAGCGUGGGUAGUAAACAGGAUUAGAUACCCUGGUAGUC
rnacentral:rRNA from 1 species